rnacentral:lncRNA from 1 species
GGAUGAUUAGAAGGUAGUUAUUAUUGUGUUAUGGAAUGAUUGAACCUGCUGUGUUAGUAUUAGAAAGUUAGAAGUACAUGAGAGGAGGAAUAAAAGAGGAUGAAUAAAAGAAGAGGGAAUUAACCUAAUACUGAACGAUAAGGUAGGGGAAGUGAGGCCGAACAGUGCAUGAGGGGAGAAGUCCAACGAUAAGGCAAGUGGGAAGUGAAGCCGAACAGAAAGACAGAGGGAAAUGAGGCUAAACGGUGUAAGAGAGGAGAAGCCGAAUGGUAAGGCGGGGGAAGUGAGGCCAAACAGUGCAUGAGGGGAGAAGCCGAACGGUGAGGCAAGGAGAAUGUGAGGCCGAAUAGAAAGAUAGAGGGAAGCGAGGCCGAACGGUGUAAGAGAGGAGAAAUCGAACGGUGUAAAAGAGUAGAAGUCGAACGGUAAGAUAAGGGAAGUGAGGCCGAACGGUAGAGGCUAACUGUUUUACCAAUUAGGAAGAGGAUAACUGUUUUACCAAUUAGGAAGAGGCAUGAGAAUGAGAUACCAUAAAUAGUCUUCCUGUAACUCUAUUCAUUA